GUCUAUGGCCAUGCUACCCUGAACAAGCCUGAUCCCAUCUGAGCUCAGAAGCUAAGCAGGGUUGGGCCUGGUCAGUGCUUGGAUGGGAGACCACCUAGGAAGACCAGGUGCUGUAGGCA
rnacentral:rRNA from 1 species